rnacentral:rRNA from 1 species
AAAUUGAAGAGUUUGAUCAUGGCUCAGAUUGAACGCUGGCGGCAGGCCUAACACAUGCAAGUCGAACGGUAACAGGAAGCAGCUUGCUGCUUUGCUGACGAGUGGCGGACGGGUGAGUAAUGUCUGGGAAACUGCCUGAUGGAGGGGGAUAACUACUGGAAACGGUAGCUAAUACCGCAUAACGUCGCAAGACCAAAGAGGGGGACCUUCGGGCCUCUUGCCAUCGGAUGUGCCCAGAUGGGAUUAGCUUGUUGGUGAGGUAACGGCUCACCAAGGCGACGAUCCCUAGCUGGUCUGAGAGGAUGACCAGCCACACUGGAACUGAGACACGGUCCAGACUCCUACGGGAGGCAGCAGUGGGGAAUAUUGCACAAUGGGCGCAAGCCUGAUGCAGCCAUGCCGCGUGUAUGAAGAAGGCCUUCGGGUUGUAAAGUACUUUCAGCGGGGAGGAAGGGAGUAAAGUUAAUACCUUUGCUCAUUGACGUUACCCGCAGAAGAAGCACCGGCUAACUCCGUGCCAGCAGCCGCGGUAAUACGGAGGGUGCAAGCGUUAAUCGGAAUUACUGGGCGUAAAGCGCACGCAGGCGGUUUGUUAAGUCAGAUGUGAAAUCCCCGGGCUCAACCUGGGAACUGCAUCUGAUACUGG